AAGUCGUAACAAGGUUUCCGUAGGUGAACCUGCGGAAGGAUCAUUACCGAAUUGUCAAACGGGUUGUUGCUGGUCCUCAAACGGGGACACGUGCACGCUCUGUUUACACAUCCACUCACACCUGUGCACCCUCUGUAGUUCUGUGGUCUGGGGGACCCUGUCUUCCCGCCGUGGUUCUAUGUCUUUACACACACACUGUAACAAAGUCUUAUGGAAUGUAUGCCGCGUCUAACGCAAUACAAUACAACUUUCAGCAACGGAUCUCUUGGCUCUC
rnacentral:misc_RNA from 1 species